rnacentral:tRNA from 1 species
CGGGGUGUAGCGCAGCCUGGUAGCGCACUUGCUUUGGGAGCAAGUUGUCGGGGGUUCGAAUCCCUCCACCCCGACCC